AAUAAAUAAAUAAAUAAAUAAAGUGUAUGAGGUGGGAAUGCCAGCAGGUAAGGAGAAAUUGUCCGGUCAGGUGACGUACCUUGUGUGAGUUUCCAUGUGCACAAGGUGCAAUGAUGUUCUAUAUAUUUGGGAACACAUUAUUGUUCUGUCGGUCGAGAUGGCAAAAAUUACAUCAGAAUUAGGCAAACAUGAAACAGGGAGUGUGAUACUUAGAGCCAAGGGCAUGUAGAGAAAGGAAGAGUCUGGAGUCUAGAGUUUUGACAUUUGUCCCACACGAGAGGGCGGAGACAGUGGGGCUGGGCAGGAGUGCUGCUCAACCGCCUAUUGGCUCUUGGCUCCAGCAAACUACACUACAACUCAAGGUCAGCCACGAAGAGCACCCGGAGAGGGGAGGAGCUGGUCACCACCAGCACUGCCCACCUGUUUUAAGCAGUCCAAGCGGUCCCAGCGCCCUCAGAAGAGACCCUUGCCCUCUGAUCCGAAAUCUUGCUGGCAGCCGGGCCACUGGGCUCUGCUCCUGGCAGACAUCAUCUCCAGCCCCAGGGUGCAGCUUCCUGCCAUGGCUGGUCUCAGGGUGGCCUCUUCCACCCCUGCUUUCCCUUUGUGCUCUUUCUUUCAUCCCCUAUGUAAUGAAUUCUCUGCACGAAAUUCCCUCUCCCAUGCUGUAUGUUCUGUUUUCCAGACUAACACAGACUGAGACAAGUGGAUUUGCAGAGGACCCCGGACUCAGUUGCCAUGGAUCCCAGGUUGCAAGUUAUGUAAUCUGAGCAUUUCCAGAUGAACCAAGCACACAACCAUGGGCAGAAUCCAAGUGCUGGGACCAAGGAAGGAGGAACGAGUUCAGAGCGGACACCUCAUGGCCUGAUCCAGGAUGCGAUCAGAUCCAGCCCCGGCAUCACUUCAUUGCAAGAACCAAUCGGACCACGCCUCAUUACCCUCUGCCUGUAAAACCUGCCCCAUCCCCCAGCUAGGGAAGACAAAUUUGCACGUUGCCUCCUGUCUCCUUGCCAUUCGACUUACAAUGCAGCCUUUCUUUUCAUGAAAAGCUGGUGCCAUAGUAGUGGCUUCUAUGAGCAUUGGGCAGGGAGCCCACUGCUUCCUUGGAAGCAUAAGGAGGGCCCUGGAGUUGUGGGUAACAGGAGAUACACCGAGCCUAAGUACUUCCUGUGGGUGGCCCCUGCUGUUGUUCCCAUUUGCCUAAAUGUUAUGAGUAAACCAAGUGCUGAAAAAUCCUUGUGGCCUUGCCUGAACUACCUGUCCGCUUACCACACAGUGAAACCCUUCAGUCAGGAAUCCAUGGAGCUUGCUCCGCCAGCCUGCAGCCUCCCCUCUGCCUUGGGCUGCCACCAAAGCAGCUGGCAACAUCCAGGUGCUUGGAAUAGGGGAGCCCCAACCCAACCCCGUGGCAAAAAUCCAAGUCAUGGGCUUUCUCAAUAUGUAAUAAGAUGACCUGAAAACA